rnacentral:lncRNA from 1 species
UUUUUUUAAAUGAAACUCUAAUCUAAACUGAAAAAAAUCAAAAAAAGAAAUGGAUCCUGUGCAAAUACACCUUCAGUACUGGGCCAGAGCCGGGCCUGCCGAUGAAGAAGAGUUCUUAGCCUUGGUAUAUUUGAAAGUCGUAACUUAUAGCGUUUUAAGCUUCAACAAGAACAGGUCACUGAAACCAAAAUACAAUAAGAAAGCCAUUAUUUUAUUUUUUUCAGAAAUAGAAUUAAUAAAAAAAACUUACAGAUUAAAACCACAUUGUAUUGUUAAAAAGUCCUAAAAUAAAGACGAGUCUGGGAAACUUUUUCUUUUCUUUUUUUUUGGCUCAACAGCAACUUAAUAUUAAUCCAAACUCAUUGUCUUACAUGUUUGAUCGGAAAACGGUGAUAAAAGGAUGUGGGUUUAACAAAGACGUUUUAUUAUGGUCGGAAGAG